UUGCACUCUGCAUACCAUGAUUUAACAUGAGAACUCAACUGUCGAAACAGCACUCGCAAUGAAAUUAAUACGUAUACCGAAAUGUCCUUAUUCUGACUGCCGUAAUCAUCGGAUAAGAUGGGAAUUUCUUCCCAUAAAUUAUUCAUAGUUCCUCCAGAAUGUCAUGAAUUUUUCCACCACUGACCCCAAAAGGGGUUUGCAGAUCCAGGGAUUUUUUUGGCGAAUGAUCCCCUGAUGAUCCUCUCUGAUGACACCUAAAGGUUCUUAUCUUUUACUGACGCUGACACUAACCUUAUUCACAGCAAGCUCUUUUUUGCGAAAAAAAAUUGCAAAAAGUUUGUUGAAAACUAUUUAGUGUUACAAUUCGAACACUCAAUUGUGAAAAAAAUAGACGACAAGGUAACUCGAAAUGAAAGCAUUUCUAAUUGACAAAUAGUUUUGUGGAAACAAGGAAGCAAUUCGACAAGCAAUUUUCAACACUCAAUUGUGAAACAAAUUGGUGACAAGGUGACUACAAAUUUAUUAUUGGACACAAACUUAAGGCCUUUUUCCUGAGAACUCGAUUGAGGACAAUCCGAUAUGUGCUUGAGGAGCGCCAAGCCUGUGAUAGCUCGCCUUCACACAAAGCCUGAUAGCACACCUCUAACUUUAAGGUUUGGGACUCAAAUGUGUCCUGUUGGGACUCGAAGAACACCUCAACACUUUUUACGACAAUCAUCCCGUGUCGGGAAAGAGGCAAUCAAAUAUACAGGGAAUACAGACAGAUAUACAGCCAAAAAGAGAGAGUUUGUGUAUCAAAAACUAUGGAUUUAUGUCCUGCACUUACAAGUAUCAGAAACUAUAACUUUUUCCUCCUCAAAAAACUCUAUACAGACAGAACAUACCCCUGAUCCCCACGAUUUACAGGGUACAAAUAGGAAACUUUUGCUCUUGAGGAAAAAGUUUGAGUACAAGGCAAUAAUAAGGAGCUCAUCAUGAAUUUUAGAAUGAAUUGAGAAAGUAAAAUAAAGCACACACACACAAUGGA